rnacentral:rRNA from 1 species
GACGAACGCUGGCGGCGUGCCUAACACAUGCAAGUCGAGCGAGUGAAUCUCCUUCGGGAGUGAAGCUAGCGGCGGACGGGUGAGUAACACGUGGGCAACCUGCCUCAUAGAGGGGGAUAGCCUUCCGAAAGGGAGAUUAAUACCGCAUAAGAUUGUAGCUUCGCAUGAAGUAGCAAUUAAAGGAGCAAUCCGCUAUGAGAUGGGCCCGCGGCGCAUUAGCUAGUUGGUGAGGUAAUGGCUGACCAAGGCGACGAUGCGUAGCCGACCUGAGAGGGUGAUCGGCCACAUUGGGACUGAGACACGGCCCAGACUCCUACGGGAGGCAGCAGUGGGGAAUAUUGCACAAUGGGGGAAACCCUGAUGCAGCAACGCCGCGUGAGUGAUGACGGCCUUCGGGUUGUAAAGCUCUGUCUUCAGGGACGAUAAUGACGGUACCUGAGGAGGAAGCCACGGCUAACUACGUGCCAGCAGCCGCGGUAACAC